GUGUUAUUUCCUGGGGAUUGAAAAGGCACCACAUAACAGGAAUGACCCAGCUAACAAUGUGCACUCUCACGCAGCCUGCACAGUGUGUGUAGGACAACAAAAGGCACAAUAAGGAAGUAAGACGUACUCAACCCAUAGCAGUUUGUAGCGAGUCAUCUCCUCAUCAUAAACCAAAGCGGUUCCAGACGACAUCUUUCAACAAAGUAUUCGUGACUUCAAUGCCAGAAGAAGGGGUUCACACCUUUAAAGAAAAGUUGACGGAAUGUAAAUAGCUACCUGUAAAGUCGAUAUACGAAUUUAGAUUAGAUUUUAGGGAAACACAUUCAUCGCGCUUUUCUUGCCAGCGGUGCAGACAUGUUUGUGUUGCGUGACCACAGGACAGAUUUGAUUGGUCUAAACGAGUACAUUUAUACAUUUUGAAUUUCAUUGUUUUUAGAUAUUAAUAUCACAUGUGGAUUUGUAAAAUUACCUAUGGUGAACAUUUGUUGAGCUCAAUCAAAAUAAAACAUUCUGUAAAA